AAAUUAUAAUGAGGGCACCUCCUCAUCAAGUCCUUGAACCUGUUCCAUGCUGCACACAAUGUUUCACCCUCAGUUUGAGUGAAGUUGGUGAUAUCAUUCACUAUUU